GUGGUUGAUCCCGUCGGAAGUGUAAUCUUGGGGCUUAACCCUGAGCGUGCUUUCGAUACGGGUUGACUUGAGGAAGGUAGGGGAGAAUGGAAUUCCUGGUGGAGCGGUGGAAUGCGCAGAUAUCAGGAGGAACACCAGUGGCGAAGGCGGUUCUCUGGGCCUUUCCUGACGCUGAGGAGCGAAAGCGUGGGGAGCGAACAGGCUUAGAUACCCUGGUAGUCCACGCUGUAAACGGUGGGUACUAGGUGUGGGGUCCAUUCCACGGAUUCCGUGCCGAAGCUAACGCAUUAAGUGCCCCGCCUGGGGAGUACGGCCGCAAGGCUAAAACUCAAAGGAAUUGACG
rnacentral:rRNA from 1 species